UACGAAGGGUGCAAGCGUUGUUCGGAAUUACUGGGCGUAAAGCGCGCGUAGGCGGGUCUGUGUGUCGAUUGUGAAAGCCCUGGGCUUAACCUGGGAAUGGCAGUCGAAACUGCAGAUCUUGAAUGUCUGAGAGGAUGGCGGAAUUCCCGGUGUAGUAGUGAAAUACGUAGAUAUCGGGAAGAACACCUGAGGCGAAGGCGGCUAUCUGGCGGCACAUUGACGCUGAUGCGCGAAAGCGUGGGGAGCAAACAGG
rnacentral:rRNA from 1 species